AGUAACGCGUGGGUAACCUGCCUCAUACAGGGGGAUAACAGUUAGAAAUGGCUGCUAAUACCGCAUAAGCGCACAGUACUGCAUGGUACAGUGUGAAAAACCUUGGUGGUAUGAGAUGGACCCGCGUCUGAUUAGCUAGUUGGUGAGGUAAGGGCUCACCAAGGCAACGAUCAGUAGCCGACCUGAGAGGGUGAACGGCCACAUUGGGACUGAGACACGGCCCAAACUCCUACGGAAGGCAGCAG
rnacentral:rRNA from 1 species